rnacentral:rRNA from 1 species
GAACCUUACCAGGUCUUGACAUCCUUUGAAGCUUUUAGAGAUAGAAGUGUUCUCUUCGGAGACAAAGUGACAGGUGGUGCAUGGUCGUCGUCAGUUCGUGUCGUGAGAUGUUGGGUUAAGUCCCGCAACGAGCGCAACCCUUACUGUUAGUUGCCAGCAUUCAGUUGGGCACUCUAACGAGACUGCCGGUGACAAACCGGAGGAAGGCGGGGACGACGUCAGAUCAUCAUACCCCUUAUGACCUGGGCUACACACGUGCUACAAUGGCGUAUACAACGAGUUGCCAACCUGCGAAGGUGAGCUAAUCUCUUAAAGUACGUCUCAGUUCGGACUGCAGUCUGCAACUCGACUGCACGAAGUCGGAAUCGCUAGUAAUCGCGGAUCAGCACGCCGCGGUGAAUACGUUCCCGGGUCUUGUACACACCGCCU